rnacentral:lncRNA from 1 species
AUAUAUUUAAAUCUUGUUUAUUACACUCAAUCUCGUCCUUUGUACCAUACAUAUAGUAAGUCAAAAAAAUAAAGGUAAAGAAAAAAAAUCAUGCAUUUCAAAAUAGGUCAAAAUUACAGAUGCAAAAUCCCCGGAAAGGGACACUUUCCAACCAGAGCUUGCCCACAAGCCCAACUUUCCUUUCUGCAUUCUAAUGAUGGUGCUUCACAUUUUUUCUCCCAAACCCAUUAUUUUUCUUCUCUUCCUACUGAAAAAUGAUAAUUGUGACAAUAACCCUAUUCACUUUUUCUCAAUGAGAACACACUUGUACAGAUAGAAGAUUCCAUUCAUAAAGAUAAGUCUAAACAUAAAAAUAUAAACAAGCAAACAUAGAAAAAGAUCAAACAGCUAAGAUUUGCUGUCAUGGAUUUGAUUUUACUUUCAAGUUUCUAAUCUCAAAAGAUUCAAGAUUUUAAUUAUAGUUUUCUUGGAGACCAUGCAAAAGGGUUCUUCUUUCUGUUCAAAAAGUGUAUUUUUCCUCCCAAUAUUCAGAAAAGUUCUAUCAAUCAAGAGUAGCAAAAAAAGAAUAAAUUAUGUCUCGUCUCCUAUUUUUUCCCUACUUUGGUGCAAUUUGUGCAGAUCUUGCACGUAAAAUACAUCUUUUUUUCAUGAUUGAUUCUUUCAUUUGAGCCAGCUAGUUUUAUUUAAGAUCAAGAUCAUCUCUAAUCAUGAUGAUCAUUGAAUACACGUGCAAACAGGUCCAUUUGAGUACUUGACACCAACCCACUUUAGUAGAUCAUUUGACCAGCGCACUUGUGUGUUAAUUUUGACUUAUAGGAGGGAUUUAGGAAAAGUAAAUUAUUGAAGUUUUUUAAAGAUCUUUUUGAAGUAAUGGAAGCCCAGAGAGUGUUAAACAUUAGUGAGUAUUAUUAGAACUUAUCCUACCGAAGGGUUGACAUGUUCAGCUCUUCAUAAUUUCAAGAAAGUAACUUUUGAGUAUAGUAAAACCUACUCUAUCAUCUAAUGCCGACCAUUUUCUUGUGAAAAAGAAGAAAAAGUAGUUUGACCUCUUAAUUGCCAGGAGAUUCAGGAACAUGCAUGAUAUGCAGUAUUCAAAUGCAAAGUGUUUCUUGUCUACAAAAUUAUCACACUCCUUGAACGAUGGAUACAGUGCCCUCUUGCCUUUGCAGAAGUAUGACUUCCCACAGAAAAUGCUUUUAUGUCUAAAGAAAUCGUUGGGUUUUCAUGGUUUUUCCAAAGGAGAUUUUAUUACGAGAUUCAAGUUAAUAAUCAUAUCUUUUAGUUAUGAUACCAGACCUCUAACAUUUUUCAAGUUAAUAUAUUUUGCGUACUUGUAUAUGUAAGUAUCAAUCGAUUCCAAGUUGGCUGUAUUUUUAUCAAAAUGCCGGAUCUUUAUGCAACCACACCUCUUCUAUGAUCCAAUGACUCACCACAGCUUUAAG